rnacentral:lncRNA from 1 species
GUGCACCAGGUGGGAGAGGAGAACAAGACUUCACCGCAUUGGGUUUCAUUCUGCGGCGCGCUUUUGUGAUGCUGCUGAGAAAAGAAAGGAGGAAGGGUAAGGGAGAAAGGCGGAGGGGCUGGGCGGCCAGGGGCGGCCGCGCCGGCGUCUCCCUCGGCUCUGCCCUGCCAGACCCGCUCCCAGAUUCCCGGCCUGCCGGCCGCUCCCAGCCCGGGCUUCCCCGCCGCCUCCUUGCCCAGGCGCCUUCCCGGGGAACCCCGCCGGCUGCCGCGCGCCGAGCCGGGGAAUCCCGGCAAACUCCCUCCCGCUCCCGGGGGUCCAAGCCCCUGCCUGGGCGGGCACCUGCACCGCAGCGCGGACUCGCACCGACACACGGAUCCCGGCAGGGAGCUCUGGGAGCCGGCGUGGGAUCCCAGGGACACCCCCCUGCGCGCACACAUACACACAGCCCGCGGGAGGACAGGACCGCCGGGGACAGCUCGCGGCGCUGCCGGGGCGCACGAGCCGCAGCUACUCACUCGCGAGUCUGUCGACAGACGCGCCUGGAGAGGAGCGGCAGAGGGCGCAGGCGCGCGGCCCCCGCCCGGCCCAGCCCGGUCCACAGGCAGCUAGCCAUCCCGCUGCCCUUCACCUGAGCGGCGGCGGAAGGCGAGGAGCCACGAGGGAGCAGGUCUCCAAAACAGUGAGCUGCUAAAGCAGAGAGGCUGCUCUGAAUUUAAAAAGUUAUUUCUGUUCGUUUAUUCCUUGCCAUGGGCACCCACAGUGUCUCAGGAACCAUAGUAGGUUCUGGGGACUAAAGAUGCGUCGGACAGGAUCCUUGGACUGAAGAAACUGCCGUCUUGUGAAAGAAACACCCCUCCUUUCAAGCUCUCCGACCUGUGCCCUCAUUUCGGCCUCAGCCCCAGACAUCACUUAUUCUACAGCAAAUUCCAUCUGUGUCAUGAGGUGCCAGCAGAGGGCUUCCCUGCCGAAAGUCAAAUCAUCAUGUCCCUGGAACACGCUGCGUUUAUUCACGGUCAAUUGCCAUAGUUCAACUGGAAACAGCUCUAAGAACCCAUAGAUUUUUU